AUUGACUCCUUCCCUAUAUAUUAAAAGGUUUCUUUUGUAAGAAGAGGAAUUGCUAGUUCAUAUAUAUGUGAAUGUUUAAUGUUCAAUUCUGGAAACUAAUAUCAAAUUGUUUUCAAAAAACUUUGUAUAAACUUACAGUCCUACCAGUAAUGUAGAAGAGAACCUAGUGAUCCACAUCCUCUCCCACAUUUGGAAUUACCACAUUAGUUUUUGUUAAAUGUAUGCAAAAUGGCAUAUCAUUUUAAUCAUGAUUUGCUUUUCUCAGAUCACUAAGGAGAGUUUAAUUCCAUAUAUUUCAUAGGCCUUACGUGUUUCUUCUUGUGUGAAAUGCUUUUUUUUCAAGUUUUUCCCAUUUUUCUAUUGUGUUAUUUGUCUUUUUAUUAGUGGUUUGUAGAAGUUCUUCACAUUUUCUUGAUUUUGAUGCUUUAAUAUAUCAUCAUUCAACUGUUGGUGGAGUAUGAGGGAAAGAAAGUUAGUAUUAGCAAAUGCAACAGAUUGACCCACGUUGCAUUAAACAGACUCUUGUACUUCUUCCACAGUAACUUCCCACUUUUCUUAGAAUAAAAGCAAAAUCCUUACAGUGGAGUAUAAACCUCUUGUUAUUUUUUUUUUUUUAAAUUCAUUUCAUGGAAAUGAAGAUAGCAGAGUGAAUCUAGACAGCAACCCUCAAGCCAUCCACAGCCCAGAAAGGAAGCAGUGAAAGAACAGAUCACCAGAGAGAGAGCCUCAGCAGGAGCUCAGGUGAUGGCAGAACAAUUGACAUCCUGUCUCCAUCCCAGUGAUGGGUAAAACCACAGUGAGCUGUACCAGCCAAGGUCUACAGAUGACCCACAGAGAGUCUACACCCACAGUUCUCACAGUUUCAGCCAGCUACCAAAUGCUUACAUAGUGCCGCCCGCCUUGAAGAAGACCCAGCAGAGGGGAGCAGGUGCCUGCAAUUCACAACCAUGGGCAGUAGGAAUUCAGACACAGGCAGGCCAACAGAUUCUCCAUUUCAGUCACGGGGACAGUACUCCAGUGAUCUACAUCAGACAGGUUGGAAGCUUCUGCAAAACAGAACACCCACAGAGAUCCUGAAAUCACAGGUCCCACGCUUGCAGAUGGCCACCAAUUCUAUGCCCCUUUUAAAAAGGCCCUGUGGAGGGGAGCAGGUGCACAGCUUUCCAUAGCAGUCAGCAUCACAGCCAUGAACCCUGCAUCCUGUGCCCUCGCACAUAAUAGAAACAGUUAGCAGAUGCAUCACAGCACUCUCUAAGCAUGCAGGCAUGGGCCCUGGGCUGACAAACAAGAAACCACGGUGAGAAAUCCAUAGCAACUGGGGAAGUAGCUUCUGUGCCGCAGCACCUCUAGGAUGAUCCACAGCUGUUAGUCUGAGAAUUUCCAGUUAAUUCAAUUCUCAUUUAGAUGUACAGGCCCACAGAAGGCAAUUCCUGAGGAUAAUUCCAAGAAGCCAGUAGAGAAUCUGUUGCAUAUACAAUAACACUAUAUCCCACAAAGGGGCUUACAGAGGAGCAACUCAAAAACACUAGCCACCAACUAGUGAGCUUAGAUACAAGCCCACUGACCUGUAACCUGCGCACUCCAAGGAGGGCAGCAGCCUUACCCCACCCCCACCACAGACCAUCCAAUGCCGCAUCAAACAGACUAUAAUACCUCUACCUUGGACUGCCAUACCUUGUAUACUCCGAAAUAUACAUGGGGUAGCCCACAAUGGAUUUGACAGUGCUGAAUGCACAAAGCUACACAAGACUACAUGCCCUAACAGAGUAACUGGGCUGCUAAGUCAUUAUUAGAGACCAUCUCCUCUGGCCCAACAGAAAGCUAGCACACCAAAGAUUGGAGGGGACCUAGAGUUGUAUUAAAGGUGAGCUGGUGUGAUCACUACCUCCAUACUCAACAAAUUUAAAAGGGGAACAAGUAGAGUAGAGGAAGGGCAUAAAGGGGGAGGAAGGAGGGACAGGAAACUGGAGGAACGAUGGAAUCAAAUUAUGCUAUGUACAUAUAUGAAUAUGCCACAGUGAAUUUCAUUUUUAUGUUUAUGUAUAAAGCAAUAAUUUUUUAAAAAAGUAAUAAUAAAUAGAAGUAAGAGUAGUAGAGUAUAGAUAGAGGAAUGGGGGAGGGAGGAGGGGAUAGAGGAAGGACUAGGGACUGACAUGGAAUAAAUUAUAUCCCAUGCAUGUAUGUUUAUGUCAAAAUGAACCCCAAUAAAAUAAACUCCAAUAUUAUGUAUAACUAUAAUGCACUAAUAAAAACAUAAAAAUUCA